GGUUAAGCGACUAAGCGUACACGGUGGAUGCCCUGGCAGUCAGAGGCGAUGAAGGACGUGCUAAUCUGCGAUAAGCGUCGGUAAGGUGAUAUGAACCGUUAUAACCGGCGAUUUCCGAAUGGGGAAACCCAGUGUGAUUCGUCACACUAUCAUUAACUGAAUCCAUAGGUUAAUGAGGCGAACCGGGGGAACUGAAACAUCUAAGUACCCCGAGGAAAAGAAAUCAACCGAGAUUCCCCCAGUAGCGGCGAGCGAACGGGGAGGAGCCCAGAGCCUGAAUCAGUGUGUGUGUUAGUGGAAGCGUCUGGAAAGGCGCGCGAUACAGGGUGACAGCCCCGUACACAAAAAUGCACAUGCUGUGAGCUCGAUGAGUAGGGCGGGACACGUGGUAUCCUGUCUGAAUAUGGGGGGACCAUCCUCCAAGGCUAAAUACUCCUGACUGACCGAUAGUGAACCAGUACCGUGAGGGAAAGGCGAAAAGAACCCCGGCGAGGGGAGUGAAAAAGAACCUGAAACCGUGUACGUACAAGCAGUGGGAGCACGCUUAGGCGUGUGACUGCGUACCUUUUGUAUAAUGGGUCAGCGACUUAUAUUCUGUAGCAAGGUUAACCGAAUAGGGGAGCCGAAGGGAAACCGAGUCUUAACUGGGCGUUAAGUUGCAGGGUAUAGACCCGAAACCCGGUGAUCUAGCCAUGGGCAGGUUGAAGGUUGGGUAACACUAACUGGAGGACCGAACCGACUAAUGUUGAAAAAUUAGCGGAUGACUUGUGGCUGGGGGUGAAAGGCCAAUCAAACCGGGAGAUAGCUGGUUCUCCCCGAAAGCUAUUUAGGUAGCGCCUCGUGAAUUCAUCUCCGGGGUAGAGCACUGUUUCGGCAAGGGGUCAUCCCGACUUACCAACCCGAUGCAAACUGCGAAUACCGGAGAAUGUUAUCACGGGAGACACACGGCGGGUGCUAACGUCCGUCGUGAAGAGGGAAACAACCCAGACCGCCAGCUAAGGUCCCAAAGUCAUGGUUAAGUGGGAAACGAUGUGGGAAGGCCCAGACAGCCAGGAUGUUGGCUUAGAAGCAGCCAUCAUUUAAAGAAAGCGUAAUAGCUCACUGGUCGAGUCGGCCUGCGCGGAAGAUGUAACGGGGCUAAACCAUGCACCGAAGCUGCGGCAGCGACGCUUAUGCGUUGUUGGGUAGGGGAGCGUUCUGUAAGCCUGCGAAGGUGUGCUGUGAGGCAUGCUGGAGGUAUCAGAAGUGCGAAUGCUGACAUAAGUAACGAUAAAGCGGGUGAAAAGCCCGCUCGCCGGAAGACCAAGGGUUCCUGUCCAACGUUAAUCGGGGCAGGGUGAGUCGACCCCUAAGGCGAGGCCGAAAGGCGUAGUCGAUGGGAAACAGGUUAAUAUUCCUGUACUUGGUGUUACUGCGAAGGGGGACGGAGAAGGCUAUGUUGGCCGGGCGACGGUUGUCCCGGUUUAAGCGUGUAGGCUGGUUUUCCAGGCAAAUCCGGAAAAUCAAGGCUGAGGCGUGAUGACGAGGCACUACGGUGCUGAAGCAACAAAUGCCCUGCUUCCAGGAAAAGCCUCUAAGCAUCAGGUAACAUCAAAUCGUACCCCAAACCGACACAGGUGGUCAGGUAGAGAAUACCAAGGCGCUUGAGAGAACUCGGGUGAAGGAACUAGGCAAAAUGGUGCCGUAACUUCGGGAGAAGGCACGCUGAUAUGUAGGUGAAGCGACUUGCUCGUGGAGCUGAAAUCAGUCGAAGAUACCAGCUGGCUGCAACUGUUUAUUAAAAACACAGCACUGUGCAAACACGAAAGUGGACGUAUACGGUGUGACGCCUGCCCGGUGCCGGAAGGUUAAUUGAUGGGGUCAGCGCAAGCGAAGCUCUUGAUCGAAGCCCCGGUAAACGGCGGCCGUAACUAUAACGGUCCUAAGGUAGCGAAAUUCCUUGUCGGGUAAGUUCCGACCUGCACGAAUGGCGUAAUGAUGGCCAGGCUGUCUCCACCCGAGACUCAGUGAAAUUGAACUCGCUGUGAAGAUGCAGUGUACCCGCGGCAAGACGGAAAGACCCCGUGAACCUUUACUAUAGCUUGACACUGAACAUUGAGCCUUGAUGUGUAGGAUAGGUGGGAGGCUUUGAAGUGUGGACGCCAGUCUGCAUGGAGCCGACCUUGAAAUACCACCCUUUAAUGUUUGAUGUUCUAACGUUGACCCGUAAUCCGGGUUGCGGACAGUGUCUGGUGGGUAGUUUGACUGGGGCGGUCUCCUCCUAAAGAGUAACGGAGGAGCACGAAGGUUGGCUAAUCCUGGUCGGACAUCAGGAGGUUAGUGCAAUGGCAUAAGCCAGCUUGACUGCGAGCGUGACGGCGCGAGCAGGUGCGAAAGCAGGUCAUAGUGAUCCGGUGGUUCUGAAUGGAAGGGCCAUCGCUCAACGGAUAAAAGGUACUCCGGGGAUAACAGGCUGAUACCGCCCAAGAGUUCAUAUCGACGGCGGUGUUUGGCACCUCGAUGUCGGCUCAUCACAUCCUGGGGCUGAAGUAGGUCCCAAGGGUAUGGCUGUUCGCCAUUUAAAGUGGUACGCGAGCUGGGUUUAGAACGUCGUGAGACAGUUCGGUCCCUAUCUGCCGUGGGCGCUGGAGAACUGAGGGGGGCUGCUCCUAGUACGAGAGGACCGGAGUGGACGCAUCACUGGUGUUCGGGUUGUCAUGCCAAUGGCACUGCCCGGUAGCUAAAUGCGGAAGAGAUAAGUGCUGAAAGCAUCUAAGCACGAAACUUGCCCCGAGAUGAGUUCUCCCUGACCCUUUAAGGGUCCUGAAGGAACGUUGAAGACGACGACGUUGAUAGGCCGGGUGUGUAAGCGCAGCGAUGCGUUGAGCUAACCGGUACUAAUGAACCGUGAGGCUUAACCUU
rnacentral:rRNA from 1 species